CCACCGCGGUUAUACGAGAGGCCCAAGCUGACAGCCUCUCGGCGUAAAGAGUGGUUAAAUAAGUAAUGAACUAAAGCCGAAUGUUCUCUUAACUGUCAUACGCCUUCGAGAAUUGGAAGCCCCCUUACGAAAGUAGCUUUAUAUUAUUGAAUCCACGAAAGCUAAGACACAAACUGGGAUUAGAUACCCCACUAUGCUUAGCCUUAAACUUAGUUAGUAUAUUACAUACACACCCGCCUGGGAACUACGAGCAUUAGCUUAAAACCCAAAGGACUUGGCGGUGCUUAACACCCCCCUAGAGGAGCCUGUUCUAGAACCGAUAACCCUCGUUAAACCUCACCCUUUCUUGCCUAUUCCGCCUAUAUACCGCCGUCGUCAGCUUACCCUGUGAAGGUCUUAUAGUAAGCAUAAUUGGUUUAUACCCAAAACGUCAGGUCGAGGUGUAGCAAAUGAAGGGGAAAGAAAUGGGCUACAUUUCCUGGCCACAGGAUAUACGGAAAAUACUGUGAAAAAAGUAUUAGAAGGAGGAUUUAGAAGUAAGAGGGAAACAGAGUGUCCCCCUGAAACAGGCUCUUAAGCGCGUACACACCGCCCGUCACUCUCCCCAAGCAACAUUAACACAUAAUUAAUUAUACUUUAUAGCAAAGGGGAGGCAAGUCGUAACAUGGUAAGUG
rnacentral:rRNA from 1 species